rnacentral:rRNA from 1 species
AGUGAACGCUGGCGGUAGGCCUAACACAUGCAAGUCGAACGGCAGCACAGUAAGAGCUUGCUCUUACGGGUGGCGAGUGGCGGACGGGUGAGGAAUACAUCGGAAUCUACUUUUUCGUGGGGGAUCACGUAGGGAAACUUACGCUAAUACCGCAUACGACCUACGGGUGAAAGCAGGGGAUCUUCGCACCUUGCGCGAUUGAAUGAGCCGAUGGCGGAUUAGCUAGUUGGCGGGGUAAAGGCCCACCAAGGCGACGAUCCGUAGCUGGUCUGAGAGGAUGAUCAGCCACACUGGAACUGAGACACGGUCCAGACUCCUACGGGAGGCAGCAGUGGGGAAUAUUGGACAAUGGGCGCAAGCCUGAUCCAGCCAUACCGCGUGGGUGAAGAAGGCCUUCGGGUUGUAAAGCCCUUUUGUUGGGAAAGAAAAGCAGCAGGUUAAUACCCCGCUGUUCUGACGGUACCCAAAGAAGAAGCACCGGCUAACUUCGUG